rnacentral:tmRNA from 1 species
GGGGGCGACCUGGCUUCGACGAGGGCAUAGAGGUUCAAAGACGCGUGCCGAGUGGGCUCAUCACACUCGUUAAUCCACAUGGGCAAAACCAAUAAAAGCCAACGACAACGUUGAGCUUGCGCUG